CUACGGGUUGCUGCAGUGGGGAAUAUUGCACAAUGGGCGCAAGCCUGAUGCAGCCAUGCCGCGUGUAUGAAGAAGGCCUUCGGGUUGUAAAGUACUUUCAGCGGGGAGGAAGGGAGUAAAGUUAAUACCUUUGCUCAUUGACGUUACCCGCAGAAGAAGCACCGGCUAACUCCGUGCCAGCAGCCGCGGUAAUACGGAGGGUGCAAGCGUUAAUCGGAAUUACUGGGCGUAAAGCGCACGCAGGCGGUUUGUUAAGUCAGAUGUGAAAUCCCCGGACUCAACCUGGGAACUGCAUCUGAUACUGGCAAGCUUGAGUCUCGUAGAGGGGGGUAGAAUUCCAGGUGUAGCGGUGAAAUGCGUAGAGAUCUGGAGGAAUACCGGUGGCGAAGGCGGCCCCCUGGACGAAGACUGACGCUCAGGUGCGGAAGCGUGGGGAGCAAACAGGAUUAGAUACCCUCGUAGUC
rnacentral:rRNA from 1 species